ACUGCUCAGUAACACGUGGACAAUCUGCCCUGAAGUGGAGAAUAAUCCCGGGAAACUGGGGGUAAUACUCCAUAGUUCGUUAUUACUGGAAUGUUUUUCGAACGAAAGAUCCGUCGCUUCAGGAUGAGUCUGCGGCCGAUUAGGUAGUUGUUGGGGUAAUUGCCCAACAAGCCUGUAAUCGGUACGGGUUGUGGGAGCAAGAGCCCGGAGAUGGAUUCUGAGACACGAAUCCAGGCCCUACGGGGCGCAGCAGGCGCGAAAACUUUACCAUGCGGGCAACCGUGAUAAGGGAACCUCGAGUGCCAGGUUACAAAUCUGGCUGUCGAGAUGCCUAAAAAGCAUUUCAUAGCAAGGGCCGGGCAAGACCGGCGCCAGCCGCCGCGGUAACACCGGCGGCUCGAGUGGUAACCGUUAUUAUUGGGUCUAAAGGGUCUGUAGCCGGCCGGAUAAGUCUCUUGAGAAAUCUGGCAGCUUAACUGUCAGGCUUUCAGGAGAUACUGUCUGGCUCGAGGCCGGGAGAGGUGAGAGGUACUUCAGGGGUAGGGGUGAAAUCUUGUAAUCCUUGAAGGACCACCAGUGGCGAAGGCGUCUCACCAGAACGGACCUGACGGCAAGGGACGAAAGCUAGGGGCACGAACCGGAUUAGAUACCCGGGUAGUCCUAGCCGUAAACGAUACUCGCUAGGUGUCGGCCACGGUGCGACCGUUGUCGGUGCCGUAGGGAAGCCGUGAAGCGAGCCACCUGGGAAGUACGGCCGCAAGGCUGAAACUUAAAGGAAUUGGCGGGGGAGCAC
rnacentral:rRNA from 1 species